rnacentral:rRNA from 1 species
UACGGGGGGGGCAAGCGUUGUUCGGAAUUACUGGGCGUAAAGGGCUGGUAGGCGGCCAACUAAGUCAGACGUGAAAUCCCUCGGCUUAACCGGGGAACUGCGUCUGAUACUGGACGGCUUGAGUUUGGGAGAGGGAUGCGGAAUUCCAGGUGUAGCGGUGAAAUGCGUAGAUAUCUGGAGGAACACCGGUGGCGAAGGCGGCAUCCUGGACCAACACUGACGCUGAGUGAGCGAAAGCCAGGGGAGCAAACGGG